GCUUUGAACACCCACUGUGCGCCGAGCCCCACACAGAAUGUGAGGGACGUGAAAGAAAAAAGAACCAGAAGUCUACCUUCACUUUAGUUUUACUUUAGAAUGAGAAAAUGGAAGCAGUGGAAGAAGGGUUGGCUGGUGGACACCUGAGGAUCCUUCGUUUCCUUCUGCCCACCUUCCAGGAGGCUUUGAUUUCCUGGGACCUGUGGGGUUAUGAGAAGUCCGCCUGUGGCGCCAUGGGGGUAGAGGACGUGGUUUGGGCUAAAGCGCUCACACUAGGUGUAGACGGAUGGACUGUGCUGAUGAGCACAGACUACGUCCCUUAUCACCUACAGGGCUGGGGAUUGUUUGCAGGUGAACAUAGUACUUAAAAGCAUCUAAUCACAGUGACUCUUCACUUUUCUGAGGAUUCUGUGACCAGUACUCAUUCUUGCUUUGGAGAAUGUAAUGUAGAUAUGAGACAGACUCCCUGGAGGUCAUAUUAUUUUCUAAAGCCAAUGACAGGUAAGUGCAGGGGCAGCUGUGAGGCUCAAAGUAGUCACCAGGGGAACUCUUGAGAACUACCCAUUCAGGUCAAGAGAGUCCAAAUGACCAUAGGGGGACAUAUGUAUGUGGUGAGUUCUCUGACCUUCACCACCCUUAGCUCUUUCAAGAUUUGUCCUCUGUAUUGAAGCCCUUUAUAUUGACAUAUAUAAAGGAUCUCUUUUUCCUAUCCACAAACUGGCUGAUACAAGGUAAUAGUUAAAUUUGUGAGGGAGGUUGAUAUGGUUUGAGAGCAUCAUCUUCAAUUGGGAAGAAAAAUGCUUAUGUGUGAAUCCUUGGGCAAUACCAAUACUUGGGAAUCAGUGGAGGGAGACCAGAAAUAAGACCAAAAAAGGAACUGUCUGAUGCAGAGGAAGAGAACUAGUGGAUUAUAAUGUGGAAACCAAAGCAUUAAGUUUCAAAGAGGAGGAGGAAUUUGCGAAGGAACAAGACUUGGUAAGAGAGAACAAAUGAUCAGCCAGUAGAUUUGGUGGAAAUAAGGUCACAUUAGAUCUUUGCAAGAAUAGUUUCAGUUGAGAUAUAAAGGAUGAAGCCAUUGUAGGGUCAGCUAGAAGAACUGGCCCAGUGAAUUCACCCAUAUGAAAACAGACCAUGAGUUUUGACUGCUAGUUCACUUUAAACAUGUAUCUCUGUUGGGAAAUUGGUAGAAACUAGAAAUGCUCCUCUUCCCUGACCUUCCUUGCUCCUAGAGCAAGGACAUGUAACUUGGGCUCUGCUAACCUAAGAAACCCAUUUGAGAUUUUAAUUCAGAAGAUACUGAAGGAUACACAGUGCAACUCUGGUAAAGGUCCACAUUGAAAAUAUUUAUGAUACGAUAACUUAAGAGCCUUAAGAUAUCCCUACACUUUGAUUCUGUAAUCUCAUUACUCAAAAUUGGAAAUUAUCAGAGGCCAAAGCUAUACUUACUAAGAUGAUCACAGCUGCAUGUUCUAUCCAUAAAAGGAAAAAAUGGAAAUGUCCAUCCUUAGUAAAAUGGUCAAAUAAACCAUGAUGCAUGUACUUGAUGGAAUAUUAUUCAGUUUGUAUCUUUCAUAUUAGUGCCUAUCACAUGGUAGUUAUUUGUUAAAAUAAUGUUAAAGUGAAAAUUAUGGAGACUGUGCAUGGAAAAACAUAUGGUUUCUUGUGGUAACAAUAAGUAAAAGACAAAAUGAAUUUAUAUAUAUAUG
ensembl:lncRNA